rnacentral:rRNA from 1 species
CCUACGGGGGGCAGCAGUGGGGAAUAUUGGACAAUGGGGGCAACCCUGAUCCAGCCAUGCCGCGUGUGUGAAGAAGGCCCUCGGGUUGUAAAGCACUUUCAGUGAGGAAGAACGCCUGGUGGUUAAUACCCAUCAGGAAAGACAUCACUCACAGAAGAAGCACCGGCUAACUCCGUGCCAGCAGCCGCGGUAAUACGGAGGGUGCGAGCGUUAAUCGGAAUUACUGGGCGUAAAGCGCGCGUAGGUGGCUUGAUAAGCCGGUUGUGAAAGCCCCGGGCUCAACCUGGGAACGGCAUCCGGAACUGUCAAGCUAGAGUGCAGGAGAGGAAGGUAGAAUUCCCGGUGUAGAGGUGAAAUGCGUAGAGAUCGGGAGGAAUACCAGUGGCGAAGGCGGCCUUCUGGACUGACACUGACACUGAGGUGCGAAAGCGUGGGUAGCAAACAGGAUUAGAUACCCGUGUAGUC